UACGGGGGGGGGCAAGCGUUGUUCGGAAUUACUGGGCGUAAAGGGCUCGUAGGCGGCCAACUAAGUCAUACGUGAAAUCCCCAGGCUCAACCUGGGAACUGCGUCUGAUACUGGUUGGCUUGAAUCCGGGAGAGGGAUGCAGAAUUCCAGGUGUAGCGGUGAAAUGCGUAGAUAUCUGGAGGAAUACCGGUGGCGAAGGCGGCAUCCUGGACCGGCAUUGACGCUGAGGAGCGAAAGCCAGGGGAGCAAACGGG
rnacentral:rRNA from 1 species